rnacentral:rRNA from 1 species
GACGAACGCUGGCGGCGUGCUUAACACAUGCAAGUCGAGCGGAAAGGCCCCUUUGGGGGUACUCGAGCGGCGAACGGGUGAGUAACACGUGAGUAAUCUGCCCUUCACUUUGGGAUAACCCCCGGAAACGGGAGCUAAUACCGGAUAUGACCGGCAACCGCAUGGUUUGUUGGUGGAAACUUUUUUGGGUGGGGGAUGUGCUCGCGGCCUAUCAGCUUGUUGGUGGGGUAAUGGCCUACCAAGGCUUUGACGGGUAGCCGGCCUGAGAGGGUGACCGGCCACACUGGGACUGAGACACGGCCCAGACUCCUACGGGAGGCAGCAGUGGGGAAUAUUGGACAAUGGGCGGAAGCCUGAUCCAGCAACGCCGCGUGAGGGAUGACGGCCUUCGGGUUGUAAACCUCUUUCAGCACCGACGAAGCGCAAGUGACGGUAGGUGCAGAAGAAGGACCGGCCAACUACGUGCCAGCCGCCGCCGUAACAC